GGCACUACCGCAAGGAGGGCAGCCGACCACGGUAGGUCAGCGACUGGGGUG
rnacentral:rRNA from 1 species